CGUGUAGCGCAAUGGACAGCGCGCGUUGGACUUCUAAUCCAAAGGUCGGGGGUUUAUCCCACCCGGAAUGG